rnacentral:rRNA from 1 species
AACGAACGCUGGCGGCAGGCCUAACACAUGCAAGUCGAGCGCGCCCUUCGGGGUGAGCGGCGGACGGGUGAGUAACGCGUGGGAACGUGCCCUUUUCUACGGAAUAGCCUCGGGAAACUGAGAGUAAUACCGUAUACGCCCUUUGGGGGAAAGAUUUAUCGGAAAAGGAUCGGCCCGCGUUGGAUUAGGUAGUUGGUGGGGUAAUGGCCUACCAAGCCGACGAUCCAUAGCUGGUUUGAGAGGAUGAUCAGCCACACUGGGACUGAGACACGGCCCAGACUCCUACGGGUGGCAGCAGUGGGGAAUCUUAGACAAUGGGGGCAACCCUGAUCUAGCCAUGCCGCGUGAGUGAUGAAGGCCUUAGGGUUGUAAAGCUCUUUCAGCUGGGAAGAUAAUGACGGUACCAGCAGAAGAAGCCCCGGCUAACUCCGUG